rnacentral:antisense_RNA from 1 species
CUUGAGCGAACCGAGCCACAGCGGCUGUUCCUCCGCACGAUUCCGGCCGUAGGCGGCCAUCAGGGCUUGGACCUC